CAGUGUACCCGCGGCAAGACGGAAAGACCCCGUGAACCUUUACUAUAGCUUGACACUGAACAUUGAGCCUUGAUGUGUAGGAUAGGUGGGAGGCUUUGAAGUGUGGACGCCAGUCUGCAUGGAGCCGACCUUGAAAUACCACCCUUUAAUGUUUGAUGUUCUAACGUGGACCCGUAAUCCGGGUUGCGGACAGUGUCUGGUGGGUAGUUUGACUGGGGCGGUCUCCUCCUAAAGAGUAACGGAGGAGCACGAAGGUUGGCUAAUCCUGGUCGGACAUCAGGAGGUUAGUGCAAUGGCAUAAGCCAGCUUGACUGCGAGCGUGACGGCGCGAGCAGGUGCGAAAGCAGGUCAUAGUGAUCCGGUGGUUCUGAAUGGAAGGGCCAUCGCUCAACGGAUAAAAGGUACUCCGGGGAUAACAGGCUGAUACCGCCCAAGAGUUCAUAUCGACGGCGGUGUUUGGCACCUCGAUGUCGGCUCAUCACAUCCUGGGGCUGAAGUAGGUCCCAAGGGUAUGGCUGUUCGCCAUUUAAAGUGGUACGCGAGCUGGGUUUAGAACGUCGUGAGACAGUUCGGUCCCUAUCUGCCGUGGGCGCUGGAGAACUGAGGGGGGCUGCUCCUAGUACGAGAGGACCGGAGUGGACGCAUCACUGGUGUUCGGGUUGUCAUGCCAAUGGCACUGCCCGGUAGCUAAAUGCGGAAGAGAUAAGUGCUGAAAGCAUCUAAGCACGAAACUUGCCCCGA
rnacentral:rRNA from 1 species